GGUCGUUCUAAUUGGAAACAAGCCCCACCCCACUUUCGAUAGCGCCCUGCCCCCUUAAGCAAUCCGAAUGAAAAUAUGCGGCGAUGAAGUAUUGGAAGAGGGCAGCUGAGUCUCGGCUCGGACGUCGAAGGGAAUCCUGUCUCUGAUUGGUCAGCCUACGGAAGGCUGUGAUUAAAGAGACAGAAGUGCUGCUCAAAGCAACCUGACUUAAAAGAUGGAAGGGAGGAGGAUUUGGGAAGUGAUCGGGUGCUGCAGGAAUUUUGUGCUGAUGGAGCCUUCCAACCGGGUACAUGCAUGCAAGAUGCUGGAGCUCUGAUGACAUCAAAGGAGGCCUGGCUUGAACACGCCAGCUGUUGGUUGCAUGUGACACCUGACAGCACAGAGUAUUCCAGCUAUGUGGCUUAUCAGACAGCAGCCAAUUAAGAAAUACCCUGACCACACUCUAUAAUUUUCCUACAAAGGGAAGAUUGGGAGCAGCAAAGGUGGAGAAGCGCAGAGGAAAAGGAUGUAAAUUAAGCCUAGGUAGGCCAUUUCUGUGUCGCCAGCAAAUUCUGGACCCAGGUCUAUCAAGCCAUUACUCCACUUUUUCUUGAUCAAGUCUCUAGGGCGGUCUUUCUCAACUUCCUCCGUCUUUCUCCUUCCACUGUCAGAGGCAUUAUGCCUCUGAAUACCAGUUGCUGGGAUUCACAAGUGGGAAAGAGUUGUUGCUGCUCACCGCACUGAGACCCUCCUUGCAGUCUUCUCAUCUGGUGGACCACUGUGAGAACCGGAUGCUGGACUAGAUAGAUGGACUUUGGAAUCACAGAUUUAUAGCAAGAGGAAUGUAGACAAAUCGCAGCAGGUUCCAGAAAGGGCUACAAAGAUGAUCAGCUGUAUGGAUUAGUUACCCACAACCACUCAGGAAUGAGUUGUCCCCAUUUCAGCCUUUCAAGUUGGCCUGAAAGAAAGUGACAGCCCACUGUACCGCAAGGUUGAGAGAGGAUUGGAAUCCAGCACUUCUUGGCUGAAGUUCAGGACUAUCCACUGCCCUACUGUUCUUCAACCUCAGGUCUCUAAAUGUUGUUGGACCACAACUCCCACCCUUGACUAAGAUGGCUGGGGAUUAUAGGAAUUGCGGUCCAACAAUGUAUUGGGAUCCUAGGUUGAAGCACACUGCACUACACCACAUUGAUGCUUCUUGCACAACAGAAUGUCUUAAUAUAUUGCACAUCAUGCUUGUUGGAGAAGACAUGACAACUCUCUUCAAAUACCAGAAAGGCUGUCACAGAGAAGAGGGCAAAUGUUGUUGCUUUUUUCUUUGCUGCCCCAGAGAGCAGAACUAGAUCUAAUGAGUUUAAGUCUCUGGAGGGUAGAUCCUGGUUGAAUGUGAUGGCCUCUUCCUCUCUGGAGGUCUUCUAGCAGAGACUGGACAACCACUUGUUGGAGGGGAUCUUCUUUGAGUUUCCUGCAUCAAGCAGAGGGUUGGCCUGCAAGACCACCUCCUACCCUUAUGACUCUAUGGCACCAUCUGCACUGUGCAUUUAAAGCAGUACCAUACUGUUUUAAAUAGUAAUGUCUUCCCCAGAGAAUCCUGCAAACUGUAGUUUGUUAAGGGUGCUGGGGAUUGUUUGGAAACUCCAUUCCUUACACAGAGCUACAAUUCCCAGAGUUCCCUGGGAAGAGAGAUUUACUGUUGAACUGCUCUGGGAAUUGCAUCUCUGUGAGGGGGCAGAUGAGUCCUAAGUUUCUCUGCUGAGUAGAUGGAGACUGAGAUCGGCUCUCCCCCCACAAGGAGGGAUAGCACCUCACUUGGCAAUUUCAAAUGCAGCAUUUUAAAUGUUCUUGGAUUGUCCACUGCAGCCUCAUUUUGAAGAUGUGGAUUGGGGUUAAGAAGUGAUGCAAUUUUUGGAGAAACCUCGCAUUCCUACUUUUCUAAACAAUGAUCCUCCGGUGGAUAAUUUGUAUCAGGUCUCUUGGAUUGUCCAAUAUAUCAAUUAUUUGCCUAGUUUGAAAACCAUAGUUCAGAACAAACUAACCAUAGAAGGCACAGAGAAGAAUUCAAGAAUUGUCCAAAUGCUCCAAAUGAUUGUUUAUUUAUUGCAGAUUAUUUUACUCAUUCAGUGCAAUGAUAUCCUACCUUCCCUCCAGACAGCUCACCUGGUGAGCUUCUUGCCAAUGAAGACAAAUUCACAAAGACAAAUUUAUGGUUGAUAAAGCUCUCUGUGGUUAUGCUCUGCCUCCAUAGUCCAGUUGCUGGAAACCACAGGAAGGGAAAGUGCUCUUGAGCUCACCUCCUGCUGGCGGGCUUCCCACAGGCAUUUGAUUGGCCACUGUGAGAACAGGCUGCUGGACUGCAUGGGUCACUAGCCUGAUUCAGCAGACUCUUCUGAUGUUCUUAUGGUUGAGUGGGGGAUUUGAUCCCAUGUCUCCUCAAGUCCCUGAGUUCCUCCAGAGAGCCUAUUUAUUCAGCAUUCAUGCUGAUACUGCUUGGACAGUCUUUACUGAGCAUUGCUUCCAAUUUAUUUACAAGGAGGUGAUAUGACAAUGAGCUUUCAUUCUGCAUUCAUCCAGAUUUGUUUGUAGGAUGUUUGCAUUUCUUCCCAUUAAUCAUGCAUUCAUCCCACACUUUUCAAUGCAUUUCCGUAUCAUCUUCCAAAACGUCAGUGGGUUUGUUUAAGUGGAUUUGUUGCAAUGGGGUGACAGUGUGUUUUAAUCCACUUUAAUUGUGCAGACUUAAUCGAGAUGUGGAAAAUAUGGAAACAACGAGGAUAGGCAGGACUGAGAUCUGGAUAUGCUUCAAGGUCCAGACUAUGGGAAGCCCCGAAAAAUUAAUAAUUAUAAUUUGGAUGGU